rnacentral:lncRNA from 1 species
GUUCGGUUUUAAAUUUGACACUUCUGUUUUCUCAAGUCAAAGAUCUUAACCUUACUUUUACAAGUGAUUAGGAUUAUUAUUAUUAUUUUAUUUACAUGUAAAUUGAAACAAUAAAUAUUGUGCUGUGUCAUAAUUUCAAACUCAUUAUGUUGCAGUCUUUUCCAGUUGAUAAAAUUGCAAUUCAAAAACUUUUAGGUAGGUACGUGUAACUUCCACAUUAUUAUUUAUUUUUUAAGUAUUAAGGUUGAUGUUGAUAUCAAAAAUUUAGAUUUCAAAGAUAGUUUUAUGUAGGUAGAUAAUAAUAGAGUAAUACUAGAUUAGAUACAAAGUAAGCUGUAAGUAGUAUAACUACCCAUGUAAUCACCUGUUAUGUUUUUUUUUAGAUUAGAGUAGAGUAGAGUAGAGUAUUUAUUGGUAAUAAUGUACAAAUGUACUUUUACAGGUCAGCAAUAAUUAAAAUUGUCUAAAAUUACAUUAAAAGUUGACAGUACUUCAGUAAAAAAAACCUAUUACUAAAAUUUAAAAACUAAACACUAAUUAAAUUACAGGACAAAACAAAAUUUAGAUCUGAAGUACUCCUCAAAUGAGUAGAAAGCACCCAUCAGAAGAUAAUUUUUAAUUUGUCUCUUAAAUUGGUUAAAAUCAAGACUUUUAAUAGAUAUUGGUAUACAGUUAUAAAAUUUCAAUGCUAGGUAUCUGGUUCCAUUUCUGGUCCUCUCAAGUCGACUGAAGUCUGGUACAAGGGCAUCAUGAUUUCUAGUCUGAUAAGUAUGCUGUUGUGUUUUAUACAGAUCUACAUUUUGAUGAACAUACAACAGGCACUGCAUAAUGUACACAGAAGGUAGUGUGAGAAUCCUCAGGUUUCUGAAAGACUGCCUACAAUCAUCCCGAUAACCCUGACCUGUGAUUAUGCGAAUACACUUUCUCUGCUGACCAAACACCUUAUCUAUAUGGCAAGAGUGUCCCCAGGAAAGGAUUGCGUAAGUUAGUCGUGAGUGAAAGUUGCUGUGAUAUGAUGUAAGAAGGGAGGUAACCUUAGAUAGGUUUCUAAAUAAAAAGAGUUGGCUUGAGAGCUUUUGGGAAAGUUUCAGUAUGUGCCGUUCCCAAGUGAGUCCCUGAUCAAGAUAAACACCAAGAAAUUUAGCUUCCUGUGAACAAUCUGUUAAAAUGGGAUGUGUAAUGGUGUUAUGUCUUAGGGUAAAGUUCACUGUUUGUGAUUUUGAGUUAUUGAGAGAGAGACGAUUUGCCAAAAACCAUUGGAACAAAUUGCUCUCUGUGGUCUCAAGAUCAAUAUCACUGAUUUGGGAAGGGUGGUAACUUUGAUAGUAUGUAGUAUCAUCAGCAAAUAGGACUGUGCUUACCGGGCCCUCUUGUGAAAAUCCCAAGUCAUUUGCACUGUAUGGCUGGCACAGGAAGAGAACAAGAGUACAAGAACAUGAAACAUCUUAUUAUGAAUGUAUAUGUAUGUGAUCCUCAAAAAAUUAUUUUACAGAACAAGAUAGAGAAAGAGCUUUAAAAUCCCAAGGAUCCUGCAAAAUGUUUAUUUGGUGUACUAGUCGAAUAAUAGUAUCUAAAAAUAUUGAAACUAUUUUAAAACAGAUUACAGGCAUGAGGAUGAUAUAGAGCACUUACAUAAAUACCAAAAUCAGAUAAAUAUCUCUUCAAAGUAUAUUUUGAGACUUUCUUCAAAAAUUAAACUUCAGACUGGUCAGGAUAGCAUAAUAGCAUAGGAGGCGAAUUAAAAAGAAUUGAUUUACUUACAAGAAAAGAUAUCACAAACAUUAAACUCUCUUAUGGCAUUGAUUUGAAAGAUGGGUAUAUGUACAAUGAUGAUGCAACCAGUGUUUAUUUUUGGGUUGAAUGCUUACAGACUCAUGUCCAAUAUUAUUUUACAAUCAACAGGGAAUACUAAUGGAUAUUCAUUCUGAAUUUAACAUUUAUGAUUUUUGUCUUAUUUGCAUGAAUGCUGUGCCAAAAGGAAAUGUAAAUUAAGUUUGGUAAAUCCUUUAUCGCAAUCGAUGGAACUCAUGGGCUCAAUUCCUAUUCCUGACUUUGAACUUAUGAUAGUAUUAGUAAAAGAUGAAUUUGGGAAUGGAUUUUGUACUGCUUUCUUAUUUUCAAAUAGAAAAGAUACCUACUUUAAUUUACCAAUUUUUUAAAAUACAUGUCUGUGUUGGUAUUAUAUGUAUAGUCAAAUGUUUUCAUAUCAGGCAUAAUCUACACCUUUUACAAUACCUCGUCAAAUGUAAUGGGUAUUGCUCCUAAUAGACUGUUAAGUGCCUGGCACAUAGAUAGGGCAUGGUACGUAAAUCUUAAUAAAAUAUCUGAUUCUGAAAAAAAUCCUAUUAUGUAUACAAGAUGUAUUAAUGAUGGUUUAGAGAGUAUUAAUAGCUUUUUGGGUAGACUUCUAAGUGAUGCAGAUACAUACAAUUUUAGUAAGUAUUUCCAGUAGAACUACUGCAAUAACAUCCAACAAUGGGCCUAUUGUUAUAGGAAGAGGUUGUGGAAUUAAUACCAAUAUGACCAUUCAAAAUUUUCUUAAAAUUUUGGAUAAAAGGGUAUCCAUUAGUUGUUAUCAGUUAAGUUUAAAACUUGGCACUCAUGGAGAGCUAUACCAUAAUAUAUAAUAGGUAUAUCUCAUAUUGUUCACUACAGUAGUAAUGAGUGAGCCUGCAUACACAGAACCAUAAUAAUAUAUUAUAGUUCGUGUAUGCAGGCUCACUCAUUACAAUAGUGAGCAAUAUGAGAUAUAACAUAUUAUAGUAUAAGUCUCUGUGCAUGACCAGAUUAACAUGUUUGGUGCCCAUCUCGAACAAGCUGGUACCACAUACUUAAAUCAUUUAUUUAGUUACACAGUACUACUCGCAUAACUUAUGUGUCAUCAGUACCUUCCGUAAAACCUUCGUGAUGCUACCCAUACGUCAUGGCCACUGAAUGUGUUAAAGCUUGUUAAUGUAGGAGAGUUAUACUAAAAUAUAUAUCUUAUAUUAUAUUGCCUUAAAUAGAAAAAAUAUCUUAUUUAAAUUGUAUCCAUGUAAGUUUUGAUUUAAUGAAAUAAACCUUUUAAUCAAAAAAGUGUUGUUUACUUGUGUACACCCAGCAAUAUCCUGAUCAUAGAUAAAUAAUAUAGUAUUACCGGAUCCUGAUAUGCAGACGCCAAUAGGGCUUUUCAUCGAUUGUCAUUUGUUUCGAGCUUCUGUCAUGAGUCACAUAAUAUUAAUGUAUCUACGUCAUACGUCUUUGGUUUGUAUCAUUGGUAUAUACCAAUAACGUAUGAUGUAGAUAUAUUAAUAUUAUGUGACACAUGACAGAAGCUCGAAACAAAUGACUGUGAAUGAAAUGCCCUAUUGAAUAGGGCUUUUCAGCGAUUGUCAUUUGUUUCGAGCUUCGGUCAAGUGUCAUUAGCUUUGGUUUGUAUCAUUGGCAAUAUCAAUAACAUAUGACAUAGAUAUAUUAAUAUUAGACAACACAUGACAGAAGCUCGAAACAAAUGACAGUGAAAAGCCCUAUGUAAAUACAAGUCAUAAAGAUUUCUUUCUACGGUUAAAAUUUCACAGCCUAAAGACAUCAUUUAUGUAACUUCUUAAGCUGUCACAAAAUGACUGCAAUAAGAAAAUAGAAUUUAUUAACUCGCCUCGCCCCCAGGCAAAGUAUAGGUGCUAGUCCACUAAGAAUGUUUUUUUCAAUUUUUUUUUUAUUUUGCGGCUUUAGCGCUUAGCUGUUUAGCCAGAUACAUGAUGAGAAUUAAUACUAUUAUAAUACAUAUUAAAACUAAUUCAAAUUACUAGUAAUUUUAUUAAUAUUCUGAAUAAUUAUGUAACCACUUAAUACUAAAAUAAAAAAGUGUCCAUCUAUACUAUUCCAACACAUUUUCACCUUUGAAAUCGUAAAUUUCAAUUCCCAUUAAAAAAUAAUUUGUACUGUAUAAGUAUAUUUCUUUUGAGCUUCAUUUUUUUUUUCAAAAUACUGCAACAUGAGUUUUAAAUUAUGACAAAGUACAAUACUUGUUUCAAUAUUUACAUGUAAAUAAAAUAAUCCUAAUUACUUGUAAAAGUAAGGUUAUAAAUUUAAGAAUAGGCCAUUUCAAGACUGACGUUUAUGACACUAAUUGAAAGCUGGAAGGCAAACAUUGAAAUUAUUUAUAUUUGUACCGCAUUGAGUUUCUUAAGUUUUUUACGUUUAAUAGUUUUUUUAUAAAAUAGUUAUUGUUGUUAUAAAAUAGUGGUUUAUAUAAUUGUUUUUAUAUAAUAGUUUAAUCGUUGUAUAAUAGUUUUUUAUAGUUGUAUUUUCCGAACAUUUUGCUGUUGACUUCUGUAGCUUCUAGCUGUAGAAGUACUUUAACGACUGUAUUUAGUUGUAAGCAGUGAAUAAAUAAACAUAAGUAAAUAUUUUCAAAAGCUUUUGGUAUAUAGAUCCAUUUUCCCUCAAGGGGUAUGAGUUAACCUACAGUAGAAAAAGUUUUUCAAGGGUGACAACAUGGACAAAUAUAGUUACUUACAUGGACAUAGUUUUUUUUUGUAUUUGGAGCUUAGUAAUAGUUUUUACACAGGUCAACAAAUGAAGGCAUUCAAGAGUUUAAAUUCUUACAAAUAUUUUGAGACAACGCUCCUGCUCAUCCCUCUGAAAAUAUUCUAUGAUCAAAACAUGGCAACUUUAGUUGUAUGUUUUUGCCAAAAAAUACAUCGCUUAUUCAACCCAUGGAUCAGGAAAUAAUUUUAGCAACAAAAUGAAUAUAUCGCAGAAAGUUUUUAGAUGAAGUAAUUGUAUGAUGAAGAUAACACAGAAGAUACAAGAGGGCAGCAUACUUUGCAAAACUUAACUGUUACAAUUUGAAAUCAACAAUUUGUUAAGUUUGCUACAGCAUGGAAAGGCAGUUAUUAAGGGGUUACAUAGGUCUUGCGGGUAGAAAAAGUGACUUUUUAAAAA